rnacentral:rRNA from 1 species
CGCGUAGGCGGCCUCUUAAGUCAGAUGUGAAAGCCCGGGGCUUAACCCCGGAAGUGCAUUUGAAACUAAGGGACUUGAGUAUGGGAGAGGGAAGUGGAAUUCCUGGUGUAGAGGUGAAAUUCGUAGAUAUCAGGAGGAACACCGGUGGCGAAGGCGACUUCCUGGACCAAUACUGACGCUGAGGCGCGAAGGCGUGGGGAGCAAACAGGAUUAGAUACCCUGGUAGUCC